rnacentral:rRNA from 1 species
GGGCGGACGUUUCCGGCACUAUUGGGCGUAAGCCCGCGCAGGCGGUUUCUUAAGUCUGAUGUGAAAGCCCACGGCUCAACCGUGGAGGGUCAUUGGAAACUGGGGAACUUGAGUGCAGAAGAGAAAAGCGGAAUUCCACGUGUAGCGGUGAAAUGCGUAGAGAUGUGGAGGAACACCAGUGGCGAAGGCGGCUUUUUGGUCUGUAACUGACGCUGAGGCGCGAAAGCGUGAAGAGCAAACAGGAUUAGAUACCCUGGUAGUCCACGCCGUAAACGAUGAGUGCUAAGUGUUAGAGGGUUUCCGCCCUUUAGUGCUGCAGCUAACGCAUUAAGCACUCCGCCUGGGGAGUACGGUCGCAAGACUGAAACUCAAAGGAAUUGACGGGGGCCCGCACAAGCGGUGGAGCAUGUGGUUUAAUUCGAAGCAACGCGAAGAACCUUACCAGGUCUUGACAUCCUCUGACAACUCUAGAGAUAGAGCGUUCGACUUCGGGGGACAGAGUGACAGGUGGUGCAUGGUUGUCGUCAGCUCGUGUCGUGAGAUGUUGGGUUAAGUCCCGCAACGAGCGCAACCCUUGAUCUUAGUUGCCAGCAUUAAGUUGGGCACUCUAAGGUGACUGCCGGUGACAAACCGGAGGAAGGUGGGGAUGACGUCAAAUCAUCAUGCCCCUUAUGACCUGGGCUACACACGUGCUACAAUGGAUGGUACAAAGGGCUGCAAGACCGCGAGGUCAAGCCAAUCCCAUAAAACCAUUCUCAGUUCGGAUUGUAGGCUGCAACUCGCCUACAUGAAGCUGGAAUCGCUAGUAAUCGCGGAUCAGCAUGCCGGGGGAAAACCCUUUCCCCGGCCCUUGUACACACCGCCCGUCACACCACGAGAGUUUGUAACACCCGAAGUCGGUGGGGUAACCUUUAUGGAGCCAGCCGCCUAAGGUGGAAGAAAAAAUUGGGGUGAUCAGAAGAAGACCCCACAAAAACAACAUAUAAAAGGGAACCAAAAAGGG